rnacentral:rRNA from 1 species
GUGGAGCUUUACUGUAGCCUGAUAUUGAAAUUCGGUACAGUUUGUACAGGAUAGGUAGGAGCCUUAGAAGCGUGAGCGCUAGCUUACGUGGAGGCAUUGGUGGGAUACUACCCUAAUUGUAUUGGAUUUCUAACCCGCAGCACUUAUCGUGCUGGGAGACAGUGUCAGGCGGGCAGUUUGACUGGGGCGGUCGCCUCCUAAAGAGUAACGGAGGCGCUCAAAGGUUCCCUCAGAAUGGUUGGAAAUCAUUCAUAGAGUGUAAAGGCAUAAGGGAGCUUGACUGCGAGACCUACAAGUCGAGCAGGGUCGAAAGACGGACUUAGUGAUCCGGUGGUUCCGCAUGGAAGGGCCAUCGCUCAACGGAUAAAAGCUACCCCGGGGAUAACAGGCUUAUCUCCCCCAAGAGUUCACAUCGACGGGGAGGUUUGGCACCUCGAUGUCGGCUCAUCGCAUCCUGGGGCUGUAGUCGGUCCCAAGGGUUGGGCUGUUCGCCCAUUAAAGCGGUACGCGAGCUGGGUUCAGAACGUCGUGAGACAGUUCGGUCCCUAUCCGUCGUGGGCGUAGGAAAUUUGAGAGGAGCUGUCCUUAGUACGAGAGGACCGGGAUGGACAUACCUCUGGUGUACCAGUUGUCGUGCCAACGGCAUAGCUGGGUAGCUAUGUAUGGACGGGAUAAGUGCUGAAAGCAUCUAAGCAUGAAGCCCCCCUCGAGAUGAGAUUUCCCAACUUCGGUUAUAAG